CCUACGGGUGGCAGCAGUGGGGAAUAUUGGGCAAUGGGCGCAAGCCUGACCCAGCAACGCCGCGUGAAGGAAGAAGGCUUUCGGGUUGUAAACCUCUUUUCUCAGGGACGAAGAAAGUGACGGUACCUGAGGAAUAAGCCACGGCUAACUACGUGCCACCAGCCGCGGGAAUACGUAGGUGGCAAGCGUAAUCCGGAUUUACUGGGUGUAAAGGGCGUGUAGGCGGGAAAGCAAGUCAGAUGUGAAAACCAUGGGCUCAACCUGUGGCCUGCAUUUGAAACUGUUUUUCUUGAGUACUGGAGAGGCAGGCGGAAUUCCUAGUGUAGCGGUGAAAUGCGUAGAUAUUAGGAGGAACACCAGUGGCGAAGGCGGUCUGCUGGACAGCAACUGACGCUGAGGCGCGAAAGCGUGGGGAGCAAACAGGAUUAGAUACCCUAGUAGUC
rnacentral:rRNA from 1 species